UGUGACAGUUAAACAGUUUCUGCUGUGGCACUGGGGCUAUUUUCCCUUCAGUGUUAGGCUGUCCUGUGUCAUGAAUUACUUAGGCCCACCUUUACCCUUAUAAGGGAGAACCAGAUCCGCCUCCUCCACUCCCCGACGGUGUCACUCACUGUUCCGGCCACAGCCCAGCUCUGAGCGGGUUGGAUGGGACAGGCUUUGCUACCUCCCGCUGGGCGUCACUCAGCCGCGCUUGUCUGCCUCCGCCUCCGGCAGCCACUCUCGUUCACUGCCGCCGUCUGCACUCCCACAGUCACUGCUGCCCGACAGGGACACACCGGAGCCGCCAACAAGGUGUUGCUUAGCAACUGAUUGUUGGUGGACUAGUGCUGAAUGGCACAGCUUGAUGACGUUGGGAAACCGCGUCGUCAGUUCCCGGCGCGUGGACCUGACUGCACCGAGUGGCGUCGGACAGACUGUCCCUGAUGACAGGCGCAAGCCCGAAACGUGGAAAAAUAAAGGACCUAUUUUAAAUCUCUAACAAAGUCUGUUGAGUGCGACCCGUUAUCUGAACUGCAUGUAGGUAUAAUAAAAAUAAUUUCACUGAAA